UUCAAUUCUCACAUGUCAAGUAUGAAGGUAAAAAUAAAUUAAAAUCCCACUCACCCUUACACGAAGCAAAACAGUACCGGAGGAGUGGUCGGUCUCCCUUCCUCCACCCAACCUGCUGCAGGCGACGACGACGAGGGCGCGCAACGAUGGCCGAGGGUGACGGUCUGUGACUCGACGGCGAGCGGUUCAAAGGAAGGCCAGUGCGGGGCAGCAGAAGAACAAGGGUGGAACCCUACUCCCCGAACCAAUUAUAAGAUUUAUAUUUAAUAUGUCCACUACAACAAAAAGGUAUCUUCUUGGAAAUGCUAUUUUUGUUCUUUUUUCUCGAAUGAAGGAUGUUUGAUAUGUGGUGCUUGCAUAUCCCAGUAGCAGACCAAACACCCUUCCCAGGUACUUCUUUCCCCUAUACCUAGUUAUACUAUUUCAAGUUCAUAAUAUACUCUUUCUCACCAAUUAAUUUAUUUUGUUGUUUUGCCUCUACUUUCUUAAAAUGUUUAGGAGCAUGUUUACUGUAUUCAAAAAUAGGUUCUCAUAUUAUUUCCUUACAUUUUUUGAAAAUUUAUGUAAUCUUUCAAUGAUAUAUGAAAGCAUAAUUUAUUAUUUGUUAUGUUUCCCUCUUGCAGACCUUGUGAAAAUAUUUGAGAUAACACUUAGGUUGGAAUAUCAACGUCACGAAACAGGCCCAUAUAGAUCCUGGAGAGUAUUUAGGAGAAUGCCUUGCACUAGCUGUUGCAGCACUUAACCCUGAUAUUGAUUUUGUAUUCAUUUUGGCAAAACCCAGCAGGCUCAGGAAACUGAUGAAAGAAGAGUGCAACAAAUGGUUAUGCUCAAGUUGGACUCAAAAUUUGCGGCCUUUUCUUACAACUCAUGUCACCCAUUUAGGAGUAUGUUUUUUCUUCGUUUUGUCCACAGCAUUACCAAUUCCUAUCAAUCUAUACUUCAUUCCAAUCAGCUUCUAAAUGGGUUGUCAAAAUCUGGUCGAAUUGAUGUUGCCCGAAAAAUGUUUGAUAAAAUGACUAAAAGGGAUGAGUAUUCAUGGAACACCAUGAUAUCUGGUUAUGUUAAUGCGGGAAGAUUGGUUGAAGCAAGAGAAUUGUUGAAUGGGUUUUCAAGCAGAAGUUCUAUCACUUGGUCCUCCCUCAUAUCGGGGUAUUGUAGAUUUGGGUGUAAAGAUGAGGCUUUUGGUUUGUUUAGGUCGAUGAGGUUGGAGGGACAAAAACCAAGUCAAUACACUUUAGGAAGUAUCCUGAGGGUGUGUUCUGCAUUGUGUUUGAUCCAAAAUGGAAAAAUGAUUCAUGGGUAUGUGGUGAAGAAUGGAUUUGAGUCCAAUGUGUAUGUUGUCACUGGCCUUGUUGACAUGUAUGCAAAGUGCAGGCAUGUUUCGGAAGCUGAGAUUCUCUUCAAGGGUUUGGCCUUUGACAAGGGAAAUCAUGUCCUGUGGACUACCAUGGUUACUGGUUAUGCUCAAAAUGGCGAUGGCCUUAAGGCAAUUGAGUUUUUUUGUUAUAUGCAUGCAGAAGGGGUUGAGUCUAAUCAGUUUACAUUUCCUAGCAUAUUGACAGCAUGUUCUGCUGUUUCAGCUCUUUGUUUUGGAGAACAGGUACAUGGUUGUAUUGUGCGGAAUGGUUUUGGGUGCAAUGUAUAUGUUCAGAGUGCAUUGGUCGAUAUGUAUGCAAAAUGUGGACAUUUAACUAGUGCAAAAAGGGUAUUAGAAAAUAUGGACGAUGAUGAUGUUGUUUCAUGGAACUCUAUGAUAGUUGGGUGUGUAAGACAUGGGUUUGAGGAGGAAGCUCUUCUCUUGUUUAAAAAAAUGCAUGCAAGAAAUAUGAAGAUUGAUGACUAUACAUUUCCAUCUGUUCUGAAUUGUUGCAUAAUAGGUACAAUUGAUGCAAAAUCUGUUCACUGUUUGGUUAUCAAAACUGGAUUUGGGAACUAUAAGCUUGUUAGCAAUGCUAUUGUUGAUAUGUAUGCCAAAACUGGGGAGUUGAAUUGUGCAUAUGCUGUAUUUGAAAAGAUGCUUGAGAAAGAUGUCAUCUCUUGGACCGCCCUCGUCACAGGUUAUGCACAAAAUGGCUCCCAUGAGGAAUCCCUGAAGAUUUUUCGUGACAUGAGAAUUGCUUGGGUAAAUCCUGAUCAAGUUAUUGUCGCAAGUAUUUUGAGUGCCUGUGCAGAACUGACUCUUCUAGUAUUUGGUAAACAAGUGCAUUCUGACUUUAUUAAGUCAGGUCUAAGAUCAUCACUAUCAGUGGAUAAUUCUCUUGUAACCAUGUAUGCAAAAUGUGGCUGCCUGGAUGAUGCUGAUGCAAUUUUUGUUUCAAUGCAUGUCCGGGAUGUAAUUACUUGGACAGCUCUUAUUGUUGGUUAUGCACAGAAUGGUAAAGGAAGACAUUCCUUAAGAUUCUAUGAUGCUAUGGUUUCAUGUGGCACGAAACCAGAUUUUAUCACGUUUAUAGGAUUAUUAUUUGCUUGUAGUCAUGCAGGUCUUGUGGAUGAAGGACGUGCAUAUUUUCAGCAAAUGAAAGAGAUUUACGGAAUAGAACCUGGCCCUGAACAUUAUGCCUGCAUGAUUGAUCUUUUUGGACGGUCAGGAAAGCUCGAUGAGGCCAAAGAAAUACUAAAUCAAAUGGAAGUGAAACCUGAUGCCACUGUAUGGAAGGCACUCCUUGCCGCUUGUAGAGUGCAUGGUAACUUAGAGUUGGGAGAGAGGGCAGCUACAAAACUUUUUCAGUUGGAACCCAUGAAUGCUAUGCCUUAUGUUAUGUUGUCUAACAUGUAUUCUGCAGCUCGUAAAUGGGAUGCUGCUGCGAAAAUACGAAGGUUGAUGAAAUCAAAAGGAAUAGUGAAAGAGCCUGGAUGCAGUUGGAUAGAGAUGAACAGCAAAGUGCAUACAUUCAGUUCAGAAGAUAGAGGACAUCCAAGGGAAGCUGAGAUUUAUUCCAAGAUUGAUGAAAUUAUAGUAAGAAUUAAGGAAGCAGGUUAUGUUCCAGAUAUGAAUUUUUCUUUGCAUGACAUGGAUAGGGAGGGAAUGGAGGUUGGUCUUGCUUACCACAGUGAAAAAUUGGCUGUUGCUUUUGGAUUACUCGCUUCUCCACCCGGUGCAGCAAUUCGGAUAUUUAAGAAUCUCAGAGUUUGUGGAGAUUGUCAUUCCGCUAUGAAAUAUAUAUCAGGAAUUUUCGCUCGUCAUAUCAUUUUGAGAGAUUCCAAUUGUUUUCAUCAUUUUAGAGAAGGAAAAUGUUCUUGUGGGGAUUACUGGGGGUUUUUGCUAUGGAGAAAAUGUUCCCUGAGUGGAUUUCAGUAUUAAUGUCAGCCACCAUGUUGGCUAUCACUGCAGAGAGUUUGAUCACAGAUUAUCCCUCAAGCCUUGUGUUCUCGAUGUGGUUUAAGUGUUGGAGCAGCAUUCCAAUAAAUUAAAGAUGUGAAGUAAAUCAGGGUUUUCAACUUAUAUGUGAAUUGUGAGCAUUAUCAUUCUUACUGCCUGAAACAUAGAUAGGUUCGAUCUGGGUUGAAAGCUUGGUAAUUGUUGGCUUUGCUGUCUUACCCUGAAUGCCCGAAUACGUGGCUUUCAUAUGUUAUGGAAUGAUAAUAUUGUGGAGUCACUCAACUUGCUGACUUCAUUUUUGAAGUAUUCUGUUCUGUGUUUACACUUUCUGAACGUUGUUUAUCGUAUAAGGAAUGAUGUUAUUAGGCCUUGUGUUCAUAAAACUGCUUCAUGGUUUUAUUUACCAACACAUGAGACAGAUUUGAACUUACAGUGAAACUUAUUUUGUGCUGUCAGCUUCUGUUUUAGAUUUUUUUCCCAAAACAAACUAUUGAAUAUUUUCUAAAAUUUAGUGCAGUUAACAAUUCGAUUCAGUUUAUACUAUAGUUCAGUGUAAUUUAGGACAGUUUAAUUCAAUGCAGUGUAAUUUGAUAGAGUAAAAUAUAGUUUAGUUUAGUUUGUCUGAACUAUUUUUUAGUUUAGUUUAGUUCACAUGCAAAGUAAUUCUUAGUAGUUUUUACUUUAGUGUAGUUCUUAUCAAUAUAGUUCAGUGCAGUUUAUUUUGCCCAAAUAGGUCAUCUCUAGAACAUGUGAGAAUUUACAUUAAUUCUCUUCAUCUCAUACAUAGAGGAAAUUUCAAUUUGUUUUGUAAAAAUUAGUUUCCAUGAAGUUCUGUGAGAAUUCUUUGGGUGAUAUUUGCAAUUCAUACUUGUAUAUUGUAUUUUGGUAGAUACUUGUUUAUGUCAAAACGUUCUCUUGUUUUUUUUUUGUUUGAUACUCAGAUACUGCAUGAAGUAACAUAUAAUGAACUUAAUGGCAGUUGUCCAAUGUGUUUGGAGAGAGUGGGGUUGAUCAGUUGGUUGAUAUCAUUAAGAUCUUGGGAACACCUACCAGAGAAAAAAAUAAAGUGCAUAAAUCCAAAUUACACUGAAUUUAAGUUUCCUCAGAUAAAAGCUCAGCCGUCGCACA